rnacentral:rRNA from 1 species
UUAAGUUAAUAAGGGCGCACGGUGGAUGCCUUGGCACUAGAAGCCGAUGAAGGACGUGACUAACGACGAAAUGCUUUGGGGAGCUGUAAGUGAGCAAUGAUCCAGAGAUGUCCGAAUGGGGGAACCCGGCAGGUAAUGCCUGUCACUCAUUACUGUUAAGGUAAUGUAGAGGAAGACGCAGUGAACUGAAACAUCUAAGUAGCUGCAGGAAGAGAAAGCAAAAGCGAUUGCCUUAGUAGCGGCGAGCGAAACGGCAAGAGGGCAAACCGAAGAGUUUACUCUUCGGGGUUGUAGGACUGCAACGUGGACUUAAAGAUUAUAGAAGAACUACCUGGGAAGGUAGGCCAAAGAGAGUAAUAGCCUCGUAUUCGAAAUAGUCUUUAUACCUAGCAGUAUCCUGAGUACGGCGAGACACGAGAAAUCUCGUCGGAAUCUGGGAGGACCAUCUCCCAACCCUAAAUACUCUCUAGUGACCGAUAGUGAACCAGUACCGUGAGGGAAAGGUGAAAAGCACCCCGGGAGGGGAGUGAAAUAGAACCUGAAACCGUGUGCCUACAACAAGUUCGAGCCCGUUAAUGGGUGAGAGCGUGCCUUUUGUAGAAUGAACCGGCGAGUUACGAUAUGAUGCGAGGUUAAGUUGAAGAGACGGAGCCGUAGGGAAACCGAGUCUUAAUAGGGCGUAUUAGUAUCAUGUCGUAGACCCGAAACCAUGUGACCUACCCAUGAGCAGGUUGAAGGUGAGGUAAAACUCACUGGAGGACCGAACCAGGGCACGUUGAAAAGUGCUUGGAUGACUUGUGGGUAGCGGAGAAAUUCCAAACGAACUUGGAGAUAGCUGGUUCUCUCCGAAAUAGCUUUAGGGCUAGCGUCGAUGUUAAGUCUCUUGGAGGUAGAGCACUGUUUGGGUGAGGGGUCCAUCCCGGAUUACCAAUCUCAGAUAAACUCCGAAUGCCAACGAGAUAUAAUCGGCAGUCAGACUGCGAGUGCUAAGAUCCGUAGUCGAAAGGGAAACAGCCCAGACCACCAGCUAAGGUCCCAAAAUAUAUGUUAAGUGGAAAAGGAUGUGGGGUUGCACAGACAACUAGGAUGUUAGCUUAGAAGCAGCUAUUCAUUCAAAGAGUGCGUAAUAGCUCACUAGUCGAGUGACCCUGCGCCGAAAAUGUACCGGGGCUAAAACAUAUUACCGAAGCUGUGGAUACCUUUAUAGGUAUGGUAGGAGAGCGUUCUAUGUGCGAAGAAGGUGUACCGUGAGGAGUGCUGGAGCGCAUAGAAGUGAGAAUGCCGGUAUGAGUAGCGAAAGACAGGUGAGAAUCCUGUCCACCGUAAGACUAAGGUUUCCAGGGGAAGGCUCGUCCGCCCUGGGUUAGUCGGGACCUAAGGAGAGACCGAAAGGUGUAUCCGAUGGACAACAGGUUGAUAUUCCUGUACUAGAGUAUAUAGUGAUGGAGGGACGCAGUAGGCUAACUAAACCAGACGAUUGGAAGUGUCUGGCCAAGCAGUGAGGUGUGAUAUGAGUCAAAUGCUUAUAUCUAUAACAUUGAGCUGUGAUGGGGAGCGAAGUUUAGUAGCGAAGUUAGUGAUGUCACACUGCCGAGAAAAGCUUCUAGCGUUAAUUAUACUCUACCCGUACCGCAAACCGACACAGGUAGUCGAGGCGAGUAGCCUCAGGUGAGCGAGAGAACUCUCGUUAAGGAACUCGGCAAAAUGGCCCCGUAACUUCGGGAGAAGGGGCGCUGACUUAUGGUCAGCCGCAGUGAAUAGGCCCAAGCAACUGUUUAUCAAAAACACAGCUCUCUGCUAAAUCGUAAGAUGAUGUAUAGGGGGUGACGCCUGCCCGGUGCUGGAAGGUUAAGAGGAGUGCUUAGCAAUAGCGAAGGUAUGAAUUGAAGCCCCAGUAAACGGCGGCCGUAACUAUAACGGUCCUAAGGUAGCGAAAUUCCUUGUCGGGUAAGUUCCGACCCGCACGAAAGGCGUAAUGAUUUG